rnacentral:tRNA from 1 species
UGGCUCAGUUGGCAGAGCAUGGUGUGUGCAACACCAGGGUUGUGGGUUCGAUUCCCAC